rnacentral:rRNA from 1 species
GACGAACGCUGGCGGCGUGCCUAACACAUGCAAGUCGAGCGAGGAGAGUUCCUUCGGGAACAAACCUAGCGGCGACGGGUGAGUAACACGUGGGCAACCUGCCUUGUAGAGGGGAAUAGCCUUCCGAAAGGAAGAUUAAUACCGCAUAACAUUACAGUUUCGCAUGAAACAGUAAUUAAAGGAGCAAUCCGCUACAAGAUAGGCCCGCGGCGCAUUAGCUAGUUGGUGAGGUAACGGCUCACCAAGGCGACGAUGCGUAGCCGACCUGAGAGGGUGAUCGGCCACAUUGGGACUGAGACACGGCCCAGACUCCUACAGGAGGCAGCAGUGGGGAAUAUUGCACAAUGGGGGAAACCCUGAUGCAGCAACGCCGCGUGAGUGAUGAAGGUUUUCGGAUCGUAAAGCUCUGUCUUCGGGGACGAUAAUGACGGUACCCGAGGAGGAAGCACCGGCUAACUCCGUG